GAAAGCGUUUAAGGGCAUCUGGUGGAUGCCUUGGCGCCAGGAGGCGAUGAAGGACGUGGUAGGCAACGAAAUUCUCUGGGGAGCCGCCAAGCAGGCUUUGAUCCGGAGGUGUCCGAAUGGGGAAACCCGGCGGGAGUCAUAUCCCGUCAUCCUUUGACUGAAUUCAUAGGUCUUAGGAAGCGAACUCAGGGAAGUGAAACAUCUCAGUACCUGAAGGAGAGGAAAUCAACCGAGAUUCCCGAAGUAGCGGCGAGCGAAACGGGAACAGCCCAAACCGAGUGGUUUCGACCAUUCGGGGUUGUAGGGCCGUCAUAAUUGAUCCGCAAUUAGAGAGCAGAACAGGUUGGGAAACCUGGCCAUAGAGGGUGAAAGUCCCGUAUGUGGUAUCGAAAGCGGCAUGGACGGUUCCUGAGUACCGCGAGGCACGUGAAACCUCGUGGGAAUCCGGGAGGACCAUCUUCCAAGGCUAAAUACUCCCUGGCGACCGAUAGUGUACCAGUACCGUGAGGGAAAGGUGAAAAGAACCCCUGUUAGGGGAGUGAAAUAGAACCUGAAACCGGAUGCCUACAAGCAGUGGGAGCGGACUUGUUCCGUGACCGCAUGCCUUUUGCAUAAUGAGUCAGCGAGUUACUCUGUAGUGCGAGGUUAAGUGUAAAAAACACGGAGCCGAAGCGAAAGCGAGUCUGAAUAGGGCGCAUAGUACUGCGGAGUAGACCCGAAACCAAGUGAUCUAUCCAUGAGCAGGUUGAAGCUCAGGUAAAACUGAGUGGAGGACCGAACCGCCGUAAGUUGAAAAUUACCCGGAUGACUUGUGGAUAGGGGUGAAAGGCCAAUCAAACUUGGUGAUAGCUGGUUCUCCCCGAAAUAUAUUGAGGUAUAGCCUCAGGACGAGAUUGACGGAGGUAGAGCACUGACAGGGCUAGGGGGCUUACCCGCUUACCAACCCCUAUCAAACUCCGAAUGCCGUCAAUUGCUUCCUGGGAGUCAGACUGCGGGUGCGAAGGUCCGUAGUCGAAAGGGAAACAGCCCAGAUCGUCAGCUAAGGUCUCUAAAUCUAUGCUCAGUGGAAAAGGUAGUGACGUUGCUUAGACAUCCAGGAGGUUGGCUUAGAAGCAGCCAUCCUUUAAAGAAAGCGUAAUAGCUCACUGGCCUAGCGAUGUUGCGCCGAAAAUGUAUCGGGGCUAAGCAUAGUACCGAAGCUACGGGAGUACGCUAGUCGUACUCGGUAGGGGAGCGUUCUCAGACGCGACGAAGGUGAACUGUAAAGUUUGCUGGAGUAAUGAGAAGUGAUUAUGCUGACAUGAGUAACGAUAAAACGAGUGAAAAACUCGUUCGCCGUAAGCCCAAGGUUUCCUGGGUAAAGUUAAUCUUCCCAGGGUGAGUCGGUCCCUAAGGCGAGGCAGAAAUGCGUAGUCGAUGGAAAACAGGUUAAUAUUCCUGUACCCGUGUGUGAGCGCGAUGGAGGGACGCAGGAGGGUAGGUUGGCCAGGUGUUGGAUAUCCUGGUGUAAGCCCGUAGGGUUGGACUGUAGGCAAAUCCGCAGUCCUCUAUGCCCGAGAAGUGAUGCCGUGGCCGCAAGGCCUGAAGCAACUCAUCCCAGACUGCCAAGAAAAGCUUCUAAGUUUAUCACAUACGGACCGUACCGCAAACCGACACAGGUGGGCGGGUCGAGUAGACCAAGGCGCUUGAGAGAACUCUGGUUAAGGAACUCGGCAAAAUGACCCCGUAAGUUAGCGAUAAGGGGUGCUCUUUUAGGUGAUGGUUUAACUUCCAAAGCCCAAGAGAGCCGCAGAGAAUCGGGGGUGGCGACUGUUUACUAAAAACAUAGGUCUGUGCGAAGUCGUAAGACGACGUAUACGGACUGACGCCUGCCCGGUGCUGGAAGGUUAAGGGGUGGGGUUAGCAGCAAUGCGAAGCUCUGAACCGAAGCCCCAGUAAACGGCGGCCGUAACUAUAACGGUCCUAAGGUAGCGAAAUUCCUUGUCGGGUAAGUUCCGACCUGCACGAAUG
rnacentral:rRNA from 1 species